UGCAGGUACACGCAGCCUGUGGCAAGGGGCAACAAGAGGUUAAAUUCUAACAGGCGGCACAUUUGAUGUAACUGGUUACACCAGUGGGUGACAGAUAGGUCGACAAGGUCAUGACCACACGACCUACUGCCGUAAAUUGAGGCAGAAAGAGGCGGAAUGGCUUAAGCAUGUACUGUAACGGACGUUCUCAGCCCAGGACUGAAGGAGAUGGACAAGUGGACUUCCAUAUUAGUGAUGUUGUAAAUAAUGCCUUCAGGAAGGAAGUAUUCCAUCCUUUGGAGGAGCUGGUAUUCUUCCUUUUCCAAGAUUAUGCACAAAUGAGACAACAGUUAUGAGGAAGAUUCACAUGAUGAAAGUUUUCAAAAGAAACUGGCAGAAGACCCGACUGAUACUCAAAUUCCGCAAGCACACCCAUGGUAGUAUAGCUAGGUAAGUACACACACACACACACACACACACACACACACACACACACACACACACACACACACACACACACACACACAC